AAAUUGAAGAGUUUGAUCAUGGCUCAGAUUGAACGCUGGCGGCAGGCCUAACACAUGCAAGUCGAACGGUAACAGGAAGCAGCUUGCUGCUUUGCUGACGAGUGGCGGACGGGUGAGUAAUGUCUGGGAAACUGCCUGAUGGAGGGGGAUAACUACUGGAAACGGUGGCUAAUACCGCAUAACGUCGCAAGACCAAAGAGGGGGACCUUCGGGCCUCUUGCCAUCAGAUGUGCCCAGAUGGGAUUAGCUAGUUGGUGAGGUAACGGCUCACCAAGGCGACGAUCCCUAGCUGGUCUGAGAGGAUGACCAGCCACACUGGAACUGAGACACGGUCCAGACUCCUACGGGAGGCAGCAGUGGGGAAUAUUGCACAAUGGGCGCAAGCCUGAUGCAGCCAUGCCGCGUGUAUGAAGAAGGCCUUCGGGUUGUAAAGUACUUUCAGCGGGGAGGAAGGUGUUGUGGUUAAUAACCGCAGCAAUUGACGUUACCCGCAGAAGAAGCACCGGCUAACUCCGUGCCAGCAGCCGCGGUAAUACGGAGGGUGCAAGCGUUAAUCGGAAUUACUGGGCGUAAAGCGCACGCAGGCGGUCUGUCAAGUCGGAUGUGAAAUCCCCGGGCUCAACCUGGGAACUGCAUUCGAAACUGGCAGGCUUGAGUCUUGUAGAGGGGGGUAGAAUUCCAGGUGUAGCGGUGAAAUGCGUAGAGAUCUGGAGGAAUACCGGUGGCGAAGGCGGCCCCCUGGACAAAGACUGACGCUCAGGUGCGAAAGCGUGGGGAGCAAACAGGAUUAGAUACCCUGGUAGUCCACGCCGUAAACGAUGUCUACUUGGAGGUUGUGCCCUUGAGGCGUGGCUUCCGGAGCUAACGCGUUAAGUAGACCGCCUGGGGAGUACGGCCGCAAGGUUAAAACUCAAAUGAAUUGACGGGGGCCCGCACAAGCGGUGGAGCAUGUGGUUUAAUUCGAUGCAACGCGAAGAACCUUACCUGGUCUUGACAUCCACGGAAGUUUUCAGAGAUGAGAAUGUGCCUUCGGGAACCGUGAGACAGGUGCUGCAUGGCUGUCGUCAGCUCGUGUUGUGAAAUGUUGGGUUAAGUCCCGCAACGAGCGCAAC
rnacentral:rRNA from 1 species